rnacentral:misc_RNA from 1 species
GCCAAAGGAGGAAGAUCUUCUUAAGACAUUUAAUAAACAGAUUGAAGAAGACAGGAGAAUUGUAAUAGCUCGUAGUAACCUAAAUGAAUUAUACAAGGUUCUGGAAGAGCACGAACUUUCAUGCACUGAUUUAUUGCAUGUAAAUACUGAUGAUGUGAUUCUGACCAAGCAGAAAGCUGAGAAAGUUAUUGGCUGGGCCAAAAAUCAUUACUUGUACACAUGUGUCCAUCCAUCUAUUAAAGGGGAUAGAUUGUAUCUGCCUCGUGAAAGCGUUGAAACUGCAAUUUUGAGGAUGAAGGAGCAAGAAACAAUGUCAAAAAAGCCUUCUCAGAAUCUUAAGAAUCUUGCCAAGGAUGAGUAUGAGAACAACUUUGUGUCAGCAGUCGUUCCACAAGGUGA